CCCUCCAGGCUUCAGUAAAAAAAAGUCCCCUGUUGGCUUUGCUCGAAAAAGAAAAAAAGUCCAUCCCCACUAGGCUACACAUCUAGAUGCGCCACCACGCUACCGCCUCCGAUUCGCAGCCAGGGAUGGAAGAUGUCGUUGCUGGCCUUCACAGAAGAUGCAAGCCCUAAUCAUGGCGAUUGGCAAUCCGGGGUGGACCAAGAAGCAGGGUCGAACUCUUUGAGUUGGGUGUUAGGUCGUUGGUAGCAGGCCAUCCAUGUCACGGCGGCAUUGAGAACAAAAAAAUGGUUGCUGGAGGGAGGCUGAUUGUGAUGGAUCUGAGGCAGAGGAUACACACCGGCCAUGGUCCAUGAGAAGUAUAUAUCGGAGUAUAUCCGUAUAAGCACAUUGGGGGAGAAAUAGCUAUUUGCGGCCUUUUUAGUUGCUCAUGUUUGUGGAUUUGUACCAACCCGAAGAUGUUAAGCCUGAAAAUUUAAUGCCAACCGCAAUGGAGGAAGUUAGAACUUAAGACAUUGGUGAGAAGAAAACUCAGAUGGCUGGGUGUAACUUUUGUAGAAAUCGAGUUGCAUACCACAUCAUAAUUUGGGCUGGCUUCGAUAUUUGUUGUGCUCUGAGUCUGAACAUCUCGUGUCAGAGUCUGUUGGCUUCAAUUGUCCUGGUGGUGGCAAGUCAUGGCAUCGUAGAGCUGGUUGGCUUCAGUUUUCUUGGUGUGGCGCAGAGUCGUGAGUUUGCUGGGUAUCUUAGAUUUCCAUGGUGGGCGAUGGCUGGGUGUAACUUCUGUAGAAAUCGAGUUGCAUACCACUUCAUAAUUUGGGCUGGCUUCGAUAUUUGCUAUGCGCCGAGUCUGAACAUCUCACGUCAGAGUCUGUUGGCUUAAAUUGUCCUGAUGGUGGCAUUGUCGAGUCAUGGCUUCGUAGAGCUGGUUGGCUUUAGUUUUCUAGGUGUGGCGCAGAGUCGCGAGUUGCUGGGUAUCUUAGAUUUCCAUGGUGGGCGUGUGCUGGCUGAUGGAUGUGGCAGGCUGUGUAUUUUUAUGGAUGAGUUCUCGCCGUUGUCUUUA